UUAUUUGAGAGUUUGAUCCUGGCUCAGGAUGAACGCUGGCGGCGUGCCUUAGAUAUGCAAGUCAAGGGGGUCCGAUGCAAAUCGGACAACCGGCGGACGGGUGAGUAAUGCGUGGGAAUCUACCUGGAAAUGGGAUAUAGCUUGCCGAAAGGUGAGGUAAUCUCCCAUGUGACAGGUACAGUAUUGUACCUGUUAAAGACGUAAGUCGUUUUCAGAUGAGCCCGCGUCCUAUCAGCUUGUUGGUGGGGUAAUAGCCUACCAAGGCAACGACAGGUAGCUGGUCUGAGAGGAUGGUCAGCCACAACGGCACUGAGACACGGGCCGUACACCUACGGGUGGCGCAGUCGGGAAUUUUAGACAAUGGGCGAAAGCCUGAUCUAGCGACGCCGCGUGGAGGAUUGAAGGCCUUCGGGUUGUAAACUCCUUUUGCAAGGGAAGAUUAUGACGGUACCUUGCGAAUAAGCACCUGCUAACUACGUGCCAGAAGCCUCGGUAAUACGUAGGGUGCAAGCGUUAUCCGGAUUUACUGGGCGUAAAGAGUUGCGUAGGCGGUCUGAUGCAUCUUAUCUUAAAGACCACGGCCUAACCGUGGAUUUCGGUAAGAGAUGGUUAGACUAGAGGAAGUAAGAGGGCAUUGGAACCGAUUGUGGAGCAGUGAAAUGCGUUGAUAUGAUUGGGAACACCAAAGGCGUAGGCAGAUGCCUGGGACUUCCCUGACGCUGAGGCACGAAAGCUAGGGUCGCGAAGCAGAUUAGAGACCUGCGUAGUCCUAGCCGUAAACGAUGGAUGCUAGAUAGUCCGACGUACGUCGGACUGUCGCAAGCUAACGCGUUAAGCAUCCCGCCUGGGGAGUACGAGCGCAAGCUUAAAACUCAAAGGAAUUGACGGGGAGGCGCACAAGCAGUGGAGCAUGUGGUUUAAUUCGAAACAAAGCGAAAAACCUCACCAGGGUUUGACAUGUACUUGCAAGUCCCAUGAAAGUGGGAUUCCUUCGAGGGUAGUACACAGAUGCUGCAUGGCUGUCGUCAGCUCGUGGCGUGAGCUGUUUCCUUAAGUGGAUAAACGAGCGCAACCCGCACCGUAUGUUAAAUAAUUCAUGCGGAACAGGUCCGAUUUUCGGACAGGAAGGCGCGGAUGACGUCAAGUCAGCACGGCUCUUACACCCUGGGCUACACACAUCCUACAAUGGCGAACAACAACGAGUUGCAAACCGGUAACGGUAAGCUAACCUCUGAAAUUUCGCCUCAGUUCAGAUUGGGGUCUGCAAUUCGACCCCAUGAAGUCGGAAUUGCUAGUAAUCGCGAAUCAGCAGGUCGCGGUGAAUACGUUCUCGCCUCUUGUACACACCGCCCGUCGAAUAGGCGGCCUAAGGAUGAGAGUCUUUAGGUAAAAUCAGCUAAUAU
rfam:Microgenomates (Daviesbacteria) bacterium GW2011_GWA2_38_24 TS86_C0010, whole genome shotgun sequence.